UCAAGUAAUUAAGUGCAUGUGGUGGAUGCCUUGGCAGUCAGAGGCGAUGAAAGACGUGAUAGCCUGCGAAAAGCUCCGGGGAGGCGGCAAAUAUCCUUUGAUCCGGAGAUGUCUGAAUGGGGGAACCCACCUACUUUAAGGUAGGUAUUGCAACAUGAAUACAUAGUGUUGCAAGGCGAACGAGGGGAAGUGAAACAUCUCAGUACCCUUAGGAAAAGAAAUCAAUUGAGAUUCCCUCAGUAGCGGCGAGCGAACGGGGAUCAGCCCAUUAAGUUAUGUGUGUUUUAGUGGAACGCUCUGGGAAGUGCGAACGUAGAGGGUGAUAUUCCCGUACACGAAAGGGCACACAUAAUGAUGACGAGUAGGGCGAGGCACGUGAAACCUUGUCUGAAUAUGGGGGGACCAUCCUCCAAGGCUAAAUACUCCUGACUGACCGAUAGUGAACCAGUACCGUGAGGGAAAGGCGAAAAGAACCCCUGUGAGGGGAGUGAAAUAGAUCCUGAAACCGCAUGCAUACAAGCAGUGGGAGCACCUUCGUGGUGUGACUGCGUACCUUUUGUAUAAUGGGUCAGCGACUUAUAUUCAGUAGCGAGGUUAACCGUAUAGGGGAGCCGUAGAGAAAUCGAGUCUUAAUAGGGCGUUUAGUUGCUGGGUAUAGACCCGAAACCAGGCGAUCUAUCCAUGAGCAGGUUGAAGGUUGGGUAACACUAACUGGAGGACCGAACCCACUGUCGUUGAAAAGCCAGGGGAUGACUUGUGGAUAGGGGUGAAAGGCUAAUCAAGCCUGGUGAUAGCUGGUUCUCCCCGAAAGCUAUUUAGGUAGCGCCUCGGACGAAUACCAUAGGGGGUAGAGCACUGUUUCGGCUAGGGGGUCAUCCCGACUUACCAAACCGAUGCAAACUCCGAAUACCUAUGAGUACUAUCCGGGAGACAGACUGCGGGUGCUAACGUCCGUAGUCAAGAGGAAAACAAUCCAGACCGCCAGCUAAGGCCCCAAAAUCAUAGUUAAGUGGGAAACGAUGUGGGAAGGCAUAGACAGCUAGGAGGUUGGCUUAGAAGCAGCCACCCUUUAAAGAAAGCGUAAUAGCUCACUAGUCGAGUCGGCCUGCGCGGAAGAUGUAACGGGGCUAAAACUAUGUGCCGAAGCUGCGGAUGUAUACUUUGUAUACGUGGUAGGGGAGCGUUCUGUAAGCCGAUGAAGGUGUGUUGAGAAGCAUGCUGGAGGUAUCAGAAGUGCGAAUGCUGACGUGAGUAACGACAAAACGGGUGAAAAACCCGUUCGCCGAAAGACCAAGGGUUCCAGUCCAACGUUAAUCGGGGCUGGGUGAGUCGACCCCUAAGGCGAGGCCGAAAGGCGUAGUCGAUGGGAAAAUGGUUAAUAUUCCAUUACUUCUGUGUAAUGCGAUGAGAGGACGGAGAAGGCUAAAUCAGCCUGGCGUUGGUUGUCCAGGUGAAAGGAUGUAGGCAUGUAUCUUAGGCAAAUCCGGGGUACUCUAUGCUGAGAUCUGAUAGCAAGCUGUACUUGUACAGCGAAGUGGUUGAUGCCAUGCUUCCAGGAAAAGUCUCUAAGCUUCAGUUACACAGGAAUCGUACCCGAAACCGACACAGGUGGUCAGGUCGAGUAGACCAAGGCGCUUGAGAGAACUCUGCUGAAGGAACUAGGCAAAAUGGUACCGUAACUUCGGGAGAAGGUACGCUGUUGUUGGUGAUGGAACUCGCUUCCUGAGCUGACGACAGCCGCAGAAACCAGGCCGCUGCAACUGUUUAUUAAAAACAUAGCACUCUGCAAACACGAAAGUGGACGUAUAGGGUGUGAUGCCUGCCCGGUGCUGGAAGGUUAAUUGAUGGGGUUAGCGUAAGCGAAGCUCUUGAUCGAAGCCCCAGUAAACGGCGGCCGUAACUAUAACGGUCCUAAGGUAGCGAAAUUCCUUGUCGGGUAAGUUCCGACCUGCACGAAUGGCAUAAUGAUGGCGGCGCUGUCUCCAGCAGAGGCUCAGUGAAAUCGAAAUCGCUGUGAAGAUGCAGUGUACCCGCGGCUAGACGGAAAGACCCCGUGAACCUUUACUGCAGCUUGACACUGAACUUUGACCUUACUUGUGUAGGAUAGGUGGGAGGCUUUGAAGCUGGAACGCUAGUUCCAGUGGAGCCGUCCUUGAAAUACCACCCUGGUAAUGUUGAGGUUCUAACUCUGUCCCGUGAUCCGGGACGAGGACCGUGUCUGGUGGGUAGUUUGACUGGGGCGGUCUCCUCCUAAAGAGUAACGGAGGAGUACGAAGGUGCGCUCAGCGUGGUCGGAAAUCACGCGUAGAGUAUAAAGGCAAAAGCGCGCUUAACUGCGAGACCCACAAGUCGAGCAGGUACGAAAGUAGGUCUUAGUGAUCCGGUGGUUCUGUAUGGAAGGGCCAUCGCUCAACGGAUAAAAGGUACUCUGGGGAUAACAGGCGGAUACCGCCCAAGAGUUCAUAUCGACGGCGGUGUUUGGCACCUCGAUGUCGGCUCAUCUCAUCCUGGGGCUGAAGCAGGUCCCAAGGGGAUGGCUGUUCGCCAUUUAAAGAGGUACGCGAGCUGGGUUUAGAACGUCGUGAGACAGUUCGGUCCCUAUCUACCGUGGGCGCUGGAAAUUUGAGAGGAUCUGCUCCUAGUACGAGAGGACCAGAGGGGACGAACCUCUGGUGUACCGGUUGUGACGCCAGUCGCAUCGCCGGGUAGCUAUGUUCGGAAGGGAUAACCGCUGAAAGCAUCUAAGCGGGAAGCCUACCUCAAGAUAAGAUUUCCCUAGGACUUUAUGUCCUCUAAAGAGCCGUUCGAGACUAGGACGUUGAUAGGUUGGAUGUGGAAGCAUAGUGAUAUGUGAAGCUGACCAAUACUAAUUGCUCGUGAGGCUUGACUAU
rnacentral:rRNA from 1 species